GCUGCGCUGUGCGCUGCGCAGUUCAUGAGUUCACAUCAAAAUGGCGCUCGCUCACUCGCUGUGCGUAGAACGUAGUACUUGUGUAAACGUGUAAAUAAAUUGGAGAUAGCAUACAAGAAAACAGAAAGGGUUCGCGGUUCACCUUUUUUGUAACGGUUUCCUCGGCGUCCUUUACAAAGUCCAGUUGAUAUCGUGUCCUGUCCACGUCCAGGGUGGAUCAGACCUGAUCUACAAAAUCUUGGAGCAGCCGCUUUCGUCGUAUGCCAUUAAAAAAAUUAAAACAUGCCCGUUAUUAAAAUUUGGUCAGUAGACCAAACAAUCAAGAAAGCUGUUCCAAUAAUGGACCCAACUUUAAAAAAUAUCAUUGAAAAAGGUGAGUAAAUCUAAAUUAAUUUGACUUUUCGUAAUGAAAUAUUUUUUGUGUAAUUGUAGAAUGUAGUGUAUUGUAGAAUAGACUAUAAUUGGAUACCUACUGUUAAGCAUUAAUGUGCUGACUCAAACCACAUUUAUUUUGCAGUAUGAUGUCAAUUUAAAAAUUUGACGCUUGAAGUUGACAAGAUAGAGCUGAUGCUGAACCCUGGCUGUACCUAGUGGAACUCAGGUUUGGUGCAACAUAGGCCCACGCUAUUUUGAUCAUCCGUCACAUAGAGGGAGAGCAAUACCCAAGAUAUAAUUCAUAAUCCAUUUUCUUCCAGAUGAGGUACCAUCCUAAAUAUAGUAGUUCCAUUUACUAAUCUUAUUAACUUUUUCUUUUCCAGGAACCAUUAACCAGGGUUCAAGUUGCAGAGCUAUCCGAAAUAGCUGCGCCUAACAUUGUAUUUUUAGAUAAUGAAAAUAUAAUUAUAUUACUUGCUGGUAGAAAAAACGAUUGUUAGCGAAACAGAUUCUGCCUACGUCGUUACAACUAUUGAUGGCGGCUUACUGCAACUUGAAUAUGGAAUAUCCAGUGGACUGUCAAAACACAUUAGAAUUUAUACAAAGGUAUAUUUUUAUUAAAAUAAAUCCUAAAGAAGGAAGUCAUAAGUAAUAGUUUUUGAUUUUUAAAAAGCGUUUUUCAAUUAAAAGACAUGUCAAGAUCGCUUAACUUCUUGCAAGUUCUUUCUAAUGCUAAAAAAACUAACUAUAAUUAAUGUCAGUAACAAACAUUUUCAGACAAUUCGUUACUUGAAAUGGUAUAGGUUUCACGCAUUAGAUUCACAUAGGCCUUAUUAACCGAAACUUUUAUAAGACUAAUUCAUAAGAAGUACUUAUGUACAUAAGAUAUAAUUUAUAGUGUCGUAUAUGUCUUCUACUUUUUGUACUCUGUCACAGAAUAAAUAAUAAUAAUAUGCACGUAGACGUGUAUAUACGCGUGUGCUCUAUAAUUUGAGUGUGUGAAAUUCAAUAAAUUUAUUUCUUUGUAA